AUUGAACGCUGGCGGCAUGCCUAACACAUGCAAGUCGAACGGUAACGCAAGAAGCUUGCUUCUUGGCGACGAGUGGCGGACGGGUGAGUAAUGCUUAGGAAUCUGCCCAGUAGUGGGGGACAACUCGAGGAAACUCGAGCUAAUACCGCAUACGCCCUAUGGGGGAAAGUGGAGGAUCUUCGGACUUCACGCUAUUGGAUGAGCCUAAGUCGGAUUAGCUUGUUGGUGGGGUAAAGGCCUACCAAGGCGACGAUCCGUAGCUGGUCUGAGAGGACGAUCAGCCACACUGGGACUGAGACACGGCCCAGACUCCUACGGGAGGCAGCAGUGGGGAAUAUUGGACAAUGGGGGCAACCCUGAUCCAGCAAUGCCGCGUGUGUGAAGAAGGCCUGCGGGUUGUAAAGCACUUUCAGUAGAGAAGAAAAGCUUACGGUUAAUACCCGUGAGUCUUGACGUAACCUACAGAAGAAGCACCGGCUAACUCCGUG
rnacentral:rRNA from 1 species